CGUCCAACUUACUUGGAGUCCGAACUCUCACUUUCUAACCCUGUGCAUUUGUUUGGGAUAGUAACUCUCGCAAGAGGGCGAACUCCUAUUCACUUAUAAACACAAAGUCUAUGAAUGUAUUAAAUUUUAUAACAAAAUAAAACUUUCAACAACGGAUCUCUUGGCUCUCGCAUCGAUGAAGAACGCAGCGAAAUGCGAUAAGUAAUGUGAAUUGCAGAAUUCAGUGAAUCAUCGAAUCUUUGAACGCACCUUGCGCUCCAUGGUAUUCCGUGGAGCAUGCCUGUUUGAGUGUCAUGAAUACUUCAACCCUCCUCUUUCUUAAUGAUUGAAGAGGUGUUUGGUUUCUGAGCGCUGCUGGCCUUUACGGUCUAGCUCGUUCGUAAUGCAUUAGCAUCCGCAAUCGAACUUCGGAUUGACUUGGCGUAAUAGACUAUUCGCUGAGGAAUUCUAGUCUUCGGACUAGAGCCGGGUUGGGUUAAAGGAAGCUUCUAAUCAGAAUGUCUACAUUUUAAGAUUAGAUCUCAAAUCAGGUAGGACUACCCGCUGAAACUUAAGCAUAUCAA
rnacentral:rRNA from 1 species